rnacentral:rRNA from 2 species
GCUGAGGCGUGAUGACGAGGCACUACGGUGCUGAAGCGACAAAUGCCCUGCUUCCAGGAAAAGCCUCUAAGCAUCAGGUAACAUCAAAUCGUACCCCAAACCGACACAGGUGGUCAGGUAGAGAAUACCAAGGCGCUUGAGAGAACUCGGGUGAAGGAACUAGGCAAAAUGGUGCCGUAACUUCGGGAGAAGGCACGCUGAUAUGUAGGUGAAGCGACUUGCUCGUGGAGCUGAAAUCAGUCGAAGAUACCAGCUGGCUGCAACUGUUUAUUAAAAACACAGCACUGUGCAAACACGAAAGUGGACGUAUACGGUGUGACGCCUGCCCGGUGCCGGAAGGUUAAUUGAUGGGGUUAGCGGUAACGCGAAGCUCUUGAUCGAAGCCCCGGUAAACGGCGGCCGUAACUAUAACGGUCCUAAGGUAGCGAAAUUCCUUGUCGGGUAAGUUCCGACCUGCACGAAUGGCGUAAUGAUGGCCAGGCUGUCUCCACCCGAGACUCAGUGAAAUUGAACUCGCUGUGAAGAUGCAGUGUACCCGCGGCAAGACGGAAAGACCCCGUGAACCUUUACUAUAGCUUGACACUGAACAUUGAGCCUUGAUGUGUAGGAUAGGUGGGAGGCUUUGAAGUGUGGACGCCAGUCUGCAUGGAGCCGACCUUGAAAUACCACCCUUUAAUGUUUGAUGUUCUAACGUGGGCCCCUUACCGGGGUUGCGGACAGUGUCUGGUGGGUAGUUUGACUGGGGCGGUCUCCUCCUAAAGAGUAACGGAGGAGCACGAAGGUUGGCUAAUCCUGGUCGGACAUCAGGAGGUUAGUGCAAUGGCAUAAGCCAGCUUGACUGCGAGCGUGACGGCGCGAGCAGGUGCGAAAGCAGGUCAUAGUGAUCCGGUGGUUCUGAAUGGAAGGGCCAUCGCUCAACGGAUAAAAGGUACUCCGGGGAUAACAGGCUGAUACCGCCCAAGAGUUCAUAUCGACGGCGGUGUUUGGCACCUCGAUGUCGGCUCAUCACAUCCUGGGGCUGAAGUAGGUCCCAAGGGUAUGGCUGUUCGCCAUUUAAAGUGGUACGCGAGCUGGGUUUAGAACGUCGUGAGACAGUUCGGUCCCUAUCUGCCGUGGGCGCUGGAGAACUGAGGGGGGCUGCUCCUAGUACGAGAGGACCGGAGUGGACGCAUCACUGGUGUUCGGGUUGUCAUGCCAAUGGCACUGCCCGGUAGCUAAAUGCGGAAGAGAUAAGUGCUGAAAGCAUCUAAGCACGAAACUUGCCCCGAGAUGAGUUCUCCCUGACUCCUUGAGAGUCCUGAAGGAACGUUGAAGACGACGACGUUGAUAGGCCGGGUGUGUAAGCGCAGCGAUGCGUUGAGCUAACCGGUACUAAUGAACCGUGAGGCUUAACCUUACAACGCCGAAG